ACCUGCCGAUAACUCGGGGAUAGCCUUUCGAAAGAAAGAUUAAUACCCGAUGGCAUAAUAGAACCGCAUGGUUUGAUUAUUAAAGAAUUUCGGUUAUCGAUGGGGAUGCGUCCCAUUAGGCAGUUGGUGGGGUAACGGCCCACCAAACCUUCGAUGGAUAGGGGUUCUGAGAGGAAGGUCCCCCCCAUUGGAACUGAGACACGGUCCAAACUCCUACGGGAGGCAGCAGUGAGGAAUAUUGGUCAAUGGGCGCAGGCCUGAACCAGCCAAGUAGCGUGAAGGAUGACUGCCCUAUGGGUUGUAAACUUCUUUUAUAUGGGAAUAAAGUGGUCCACGUGUGGAUUUUUGUAUGUACCAUAUGAAUAAGGAUCGGCUAACUCCGUGCCAGCAGCCGCGGUAAUACGGAGGAUCCGAGCGUUAUCCGGAUUUAUUGGGUUUAAAGGGAGCGUAGGUGGACAGUUAAGUCAGUUGUGAAAGUUUGCGGCUCAACCGUAAAAUUGCAGUUGAUACUGGCUGUCUUGAGUACAGUAGAGGUGGGCGGAAUUCGUGGUGUAGCGGUGAAAUGCUUAGAUAUCACGAAGAACUCCGAUUGCGAAGGCAGCUCACUGGACUGCAACUGACACUGAUGCUCGAAAGUGUGGGUAUCAAACAGGAUUAGAUACCCUGGUAGUCCACACAG
rnacentral:rRNA from 1 species